AACGAACGCUGGCGGCAGGCUUAACACAUGCAAGUCGAGCGCCCCGCAAGGGGAGCGGCAGACGGGUGAGUAACGCGUGGGAACGUACCCUUUGCUACGGAAUAGCUCCGGGAAACUGGAAUUAAUACCGUAUGUGCCCUACGGGGGAAAGAUUUAUCGGCAAAGGAUCGGCCCGCGUUGGAUUAGCUAGUUGGUGGGGUAAUGGCCUACCAAGGCGACGAUCCAUAGCUGGUCUGAGAGGAUGAUCAGCCACACUGGGACUGAGACACGGCCCAGACUCCUACGGGAGGCAGCAGUGGGGAAUAUUGGACAAUGGGCGCAAGCCUGAUCCAGCCAUGCCGCGUGAGUGAUGAAGGCCUUAGGGUUGUAAAGCUCUUUCAGUGGGGAAGAUAAUGACGGUAACCGGAGAAGAAGCCCCGGCUAACUUCGUGCCAGCCGCCGCCGUAAAAC
rnacentral:rRNA from 1 species